rnacentral:lncRNA from 1 species
GACAUUGUUCAAUCCACAAAGACCUCAACUACACAACUUUGGCUACUUGAUAAAGGAUGCAUGUCACAAAGACAUUGUCAUCCACACAACAAAUGCCUCAUUAAAAACUCUGAACUCUGCUACCUUACUGUCGUUCACCUUUUUCCAACAUUUGGAUUAAUAGGAACUCAAACCUCUUCAACCACACUUCGUCCAUCACACGCCAAAAAAAAUUACGAUACAAAUGGCUGAAUUCAUUUCACUCGCCCAGAUUAAUGUGCCAUCAAAACCUAGGCUUCACAUACCAAUAAGAUGGCUCCCACCUACUAACCAGUACAAGCUAAACAUUGAUGGAGCUUAUGACAAAAACAAUCAAACAAAUGGCACUGGUGGACUCAUCAGAGACCACCAUGGCAAUUGGAUAGCGGGGUUUGCGCAGAAGGCAUUUGCAACAUCUGCUCUUCAUGCUGAAAUACUCGCAUUAAUAGCAAGACUAGAGCUCUCCUUCACAAAAAUAUCUUUCCCACUAUAGUGAAAACAGAUUCACAGGUAUUAUGUAACUUAUUUUAAGACGAACACACAUGCUACUCACAUCUUCUUUAUGAUUGCAGUUUUCUUCUUGAUGUUGCUGGCAUGGAAGAAAUAACCCAUAUAUAUCGGGAAGGCAACUCUGUAGCUGAUGCUCUGGCAAAGUAUGGAAGAACCAAGCAACAGACAAUAACGGAGGGAGAAAACACUAUAUACUGGGAAACACCUGUAGAUUUUAUUUUACAAAUUUUUAUUAAAGACAAAUUGAGAAAAAUCACUAUGCGGUCUAUCCCUAUGUUAUGUAAUAACUAAACUUCUAUGAUCUAAUAUAAAGUCUCUUCUUUCAUUAGUAAAAAAAAAAGGUCUCUUAAUAAUGCAAUAAUCAAUCCUCUUUCACAAGGGAUUUUCAGAAAAGGCAAACCUAUGGAAUGCUCCCAAGCAAAUAAUUCAUAGAAAUGACCAAUCAAUUUCGCAGUCAAAAUUUCGUUGAUAUUGCCUCUUUCAAUUUUAGUGAAUAUGUCAAAAAAAGAGGAAUAUUCUUUUGCAUAAAUAUUUUCUGAUAAUAUCCCUUCCAAGCUGAUUCCUAAUCUCAUUUCAACAGAUUUCAUGAAUAAAAUAUUUUUUAUUCAUUUUCAACCGUUGUAAAAAAUUGUAUAUAAGUAUCCUUAAAAAUGACAACAAUUUCUUUAACUAAAAGGGGUGCCUGUAUCUACAAGAUUUCUUAAAAGAAAUUAAACUAGGCUUCAAAUAGUUUUCUUUUUCUUAAAAUUAAUCUAUAUAAUUUUAUGAAAUAAUAAGUGAGACUAUAUUUUAAAUGUUUUCCGCUUAAGAACAAUCAGUUCACUAAAAAAAUAAUUCCAAAUAAUUCUGUACAACGACAAACCAAUUGGUUGACCACAUGCCAAAAUUUUUCAUGUAUAUGUUGUGAUUUGAAUUUAUUGUCUCUUCAUUUAAAUCACUCAAAUUACUUCUUGGUUCCAUAUUUUUUUCUCUUCUUUUUGUUUCUGAUUUCUGAAAACUGGAUGAAAUAAAGCAGCUGCAAAGACUCUUUUCUUGAAUUCACUAUGCAUCACUUUCCCCAAGCAAAUCGUCACUUCAUUUUUUACUGUUACCAUACUAACCA